UGCAUUAAUUAUUCUGACCACAGCCGAGUGGCUACCGCAAACUGCAUGAUAACACUGCCUAAAACUAGUCGAUUCAUGACCACGGUCACCUUCUGUAUAGUAUUUGGCUGUUCGAAGGCAGGAAAGACAAGGAAUAUAUAUAUAUAUAUAUAUAUUACAGAUUCCCCCCAAUCGUGAAACACCAUUAGUGACACCAAGAUAAGACUCAAGAACUGUCUGAAAAGCAAAUAAGUAUUUUUGCCCGUCAAGACCUGAACCCAGACAGCUGUCAAGUAACCGGUCAUUUCAUCACUGGUUCACCAGCUGACCUCUAUCAAGACACCCAUGUCAACUGGAUUCCCACUGUGAAGAUGAGCAAUGCUGCAGCGGCAUCAGUUUGUACUUCGUCCUUUUCCAGUUAUAAAAGGAGACAUCCCUCAGUUAUACGAGAUGGUCAUAUGCUGUGCUUUGGUCAAUCUGAACGAUUCUGUUGUGCACAUAGUCACCUUGUCAUGAUGACAAAAGUGCCCCCUUAAACCAUAUGAAUAUAUACAAUUUAAUUUGGAAUGUGUAAAAGACUAUUGCUUAUGAUAACAUACUGUGCUUUAAUAGACUAUUGUUUAUAUGGGUGAAAUUAAAAGUAUUGUCAUCUCUG